AGCGAACGCUGGCGGCAGGCUUAACACAUGCAAGUCGAACGGGCACUUCGGUGCUAGUGGCAGACGGGUGAGUGACACGUGGGAACGUACCUUUCGGUUCGGAAUAAUCCAGGGAAACUUGGACUAAUACCGGAUACGCCCUUCGGGGGAAAGAUUCAUCGCCGAUAGAUCGGCCCGCGUCUGAUUAGCUAGUUGGUGAGGUAAUGGCUCACCAAGGCGACGAUCAGUAGCUGGUCUGAGAGGAUGAUCAGCCACAUUGGGACUGAGACACGGCCCAAACUCCUACGGGAGGCAGCAGUGGGGAAUAUUGGACAAUGGGCGCAAGCCUGAUCCAGCCAUGCCGCGUGAGUGAUGAAGGCCUUAGGGUUGUAAAGCUCUUUUGUCCGGGAAGAUAAUGACUGUACCGGAAGAAUAAGCCCCGGCUAACUUCGUG
rnacentral:rRNA from 1 species